UACGUAGGUGGCGAGCGUUGUCCGGAUUUAUUGGGCGUAAAGCGCGCGCAGGUGGUGCGGUAAGUCCUGUGUGAAAUCUCCCGGCUCAACUGGGAGGGUGCGCCGAAUACUGAGAGGCUAGAGUGUGGGAGAGGAAAGUGGAAUUCCUGGUGUAGCGGUGAAAUGCGUAGAUAUCAGGAGGAACACCGGUGGUGUAAACGGCUUUCUGGACCAUAACUGACGCUGAGGCACGAAAGCGUGGGUAGCAAACAGG
rnacentral:rRNA from 1 species